rnacentral:rRNA from 1 species
UACGGGGGGGGCAAGCGUUGUUCGGAAUUACUGGGCGUAAAGGGCUCGUAGGCGGCCAACUAAGUCGGACGUGAAAUCCCUCGGCUUAACCGGGGAACUGCGUCUGAUACUGGAUGGCUUGAAUCCGGGAGAGGGAUGCAGAAUUCCAGGUGUAGCGGUGAAAUGCGUAGAUAUCUGGAGGAAUACCGGUGGCGAAGGCGGCAUCCUGGACCGGCAUUGACGCUGAGGAGCGAAAGCUAGGGGAGCAAACGGG